rnacentral:rRNA from 1 species
CGCUGGCGGCGUGCCUAAUACAUGCAAGUCGAGCGCAGGAAACUUUAGUAGAUCCCUUCGGGGUGACGCUAAGUGGAAUGAGCGGCGGACGGGUGAGUAACACGUGGGCAACCUACCUAUAAGACUGGGAUAACUCGUGGAAACAGGAGCUAAUACCGGAUAACCAGUGCGUUCGCAUGAACGCACCUUAAAAGGCGGCAUUUGCUGUCACUUAUAGAUGGGCCCGCGGCGCAUUAGCUAGUUGGUAAGGUAACGGCUUACCAAGGCGACGAUGCGUAGCCGACCUGAGAGGGUGAUCGGCCACACUGGGACUGAGACACGGCCCAGACUCCUACGGGAGGCAGCAGUAGGGAAUCUUCCGCAAUGGACGAAAGUCCGACGGAGCAACGCCGCGUGAGCGAUGAAGGCCUUCGGGUCGUAAAGCUCUGUUGUUAGGGAAGAACAAGUGCUAUUCGAAUAGGGUGGGACCUUGACGGUACCUAACGAGAAAGCCACGGCUAACUACGUGCCAGCAGCCGCGGUAAUACGUAGGUGGCAAGCGUUGUCCGGAAUUAUUGGGCGUAAAGCGCGCGCAGGCGGUCUCUUAAGUCUGAUGUGAAAGCCCACGGCUCACCGUGGAGGGUCAUUGGAAACUGGGA